AAGACUGUGCUUCACAGGAUCAUUUCUGUAGGCAAGUUUUCACCACAAGUUUUUUCCGAAAGGAAAAGAUUUCCCACCCACGAUGAUGAGACAUAGUGGCUAGUCUGGAGCGUGAAAAUUGGUCCGAUUGUGUUUGAUCAGUAAUGAUUGAACCGUGGACUGCUGAUGAUCGUGCUCUCUUGCAAUGGCUGGCCGCGGUCUGAGUGGU